UUGAUAAAAUGGUGAAGUGACCAAAAUCAAAACACAGGUAGAGUCCAGCAUCCAGAUAUAGAGAAAGAUGGACAGAAAUGAAGUGAAAGCAAGUUCUCCAGGAGUUUCCGCCGUUCAACUCAACGAUUGCCUCGAAGAUCUUCUCAAUUUCGUCCUUCAAUCUUCCAUCAAUGGCACCCUUGACUUCAACCUUGCCUUAUCUGCCGAUUUCUGUUCCGGACUUCUCAAACACGAUGAUCAUCAUCAUCAUAAUAUAACCUCUCCAACUUCCAAUGAUAUAUCUGAAGGGGUGCCACCAUAUCCUUUAUACAAGAGAUUUGCUUCUGCUUUACAACAAUGGAUAAUUUCAGGUUCAUUCUUUUCAACAAGUGAAAAUGUCCCAGAAUUAUUAUGCGAGGAUGAAUCUCUGAAAGAAAUUAAAUAUAAAUGGAAUGAAUUAGUUUCACAAAAGGGGUCUGAAUUAGUUUAUAUGUUGAAGAGCAUCAAAUUUGAGCUUCAUGUUCAGGAACCGUAUUUUUCGCAAUUGAAAGAUGGCAUGAAAACAGUUGAAGGAAGGUGUGCAGUUGGUAACUAUAAUCGAAUUCAAUCAGGAGAUUUGAUUUUCUUCAACAAGUGCUUGAUGCUUGAGGUUCAGGAUGUUCGUUACUAUUCUUCGUUUGUGGAGAUGUUGGAAGCAGAAACUUUGGAGACCGUACUUCCAGGUGUACCGACCAUCGAAGAAGGUGAGCAAAUCUACAGGAAAUUCUACACCAAGGAAAAGGAGCAGUCAAAUGGCGUCCUUGCAAUAUGUGUUGGCAGACCAGCUACUCAGCCACACAUUGUCUUAUCUGAUAUUCUUUCGGGCCUUGGCUAUAGGGGCAUCCAGAGUCUUCUAGGGCUUAAGCAUACUGUUGGGACAAUUCCCGAGGCGCUUCCACCUCCAAUAUCAACUCUCUACUCAUCUUUUGCGUUGCCACAUAAAUCAAAUAUUAAAGGUUGUACCUUGACUGAAGGUGCCAGGGCAUUAACAAAGCAUGUCAAUAGAUGCAGCAGCAACUAUUGGGGUAAAGUGGAAGGAAGUGAUUCAACUAAAAACCAGCUUGCCAUAGAAGUCAUAACCCGCAUCAUAGAUCAAUGUCGAUGGUUGAAUGUGCAUAAUGUCCAACCACAUGGUGCUGUUUUUGAAAUACGAAUUCCUCAAGGUUAUGGUGCUCGGUGGUCGGUUGAUGGUACCAAGUGAUCUAUGCUAUCCAAGCUUCUCAGUAGUGUCAGAUUCAUCAGGAAUGUGAGGUGAACAUGUUCUAAUAUAUGUAUGUGUUGAUGGUACAGUACUACAGUAGUCCAUUUAUCCAAUAUGAACUCAUUUUUGGUUUUCCAAACAUAUCAUACAGAAGAAAUAAACAUACACAUAAUACAUUUGGCUGGAAUUUACAAGUUGCAUUGUCAGCUGUAACUCUUUUAUAGGGUUUCUGGAACCAUACAUGGAAAAUGGACAUUCAAAGAAAUGGAGGCACUGACUAAUACUAAUGUUUCUUCUCUGUAAAACACACUUGAGAAGCUACUCUCUAAUUUUGCAAAAAGUGCUAUUGCAAUACUGCUGUGCCCUGAACUCGCUUUUGUUCCUAACAAUCGUGGUUAUCAAAAUCGUGAUUCUACUUUGAA